rnacentral:rRNA from 1 species
AUUGAACGCUGGCGGCAGGCCUAACACAUGCAAGUCGAGCGAGCGGCGGACGGGUGAGUAAUGUAUGUGGCUCUGCUCUAUAGCGGGGGAUAACUCCGGGAAACGGUGGCUAAUACCGCAUACCAUCGGCUGAUCCCUUAUGGGAUUAGCUAGUAGGUGGGGUAAAGGCUAACCUAGGCGACGAUCUCUAGCUGGUCUGAGAGGUUGAUCAGCCACACUGGGACUGAGACACGGCCCAGACGCCUACGGGAGGCAGCAGUGGGGAAUAUUGCACAAUGGGCGCAAGCCUGAUGCAGCCAUGCCGCGUGUGUGAAGAAGGUCUUAGGGUUGUAAAGUACUUUCAGCGGGGAGGCGUUACCCGAAGAAGAAGCACCGGCUAACUCCGUGCCAGCCGCCGCGGUAAUAC